rnacentral:rRNA from 1 species
UGCGCUUAAGGAGCGGCCGAUGUCUGAUUAGCUAGUUGGUGGGGUAAAGGCCUACCAAGGCGACGAUCAGUAGUUGGUCUGAGAGGACGACCAACCACACUGGGACUGAGACACGGCCCAGACUCCUACGGGAGGCAGCAGUGGGGAAUUUUGGACAAUGGGCGCAAGCCUGAUCCAGCCAUGCCGCGUGAGUGAAGAAGGCCUUCGGGUUGUAAAGCUCUUUCAGUUGGGAAGAAACGAUUGCAACUAAUAAUUGUAAUUAAUGACGGUACCGACGGAAGAA